UUGAACUGUUAAAACUCAAAGUCCAUCGUAUACACAACAGAUUCACUUGUGAAGUGGCGGUGACAGUAUAUUCUAUUCGCGAUCCGAAAACUUUACUACGCCGGAGAUUUCACGAGAAGAUUUCAAUCAGUGUUAAGAUGCGCAUCCGACAUAUUUUCGCACUAUUCAUAUUCAUACUGAUAGCGAUGCAAUUUUCAGACGCAAUGGACAUAGCAAAUAAAAACGACUCAGAUUAUCGAAAUAUUCUUAGAGGUAAACGGAUAGAGCCAAGAUGUGGACCAGGCGAACGUGUUGAUGCAAAUGGAAUAUGUAGAUAUGUUUAUUUUUAAUAUUAUUUGUUAAACUUUCACAGACGGCCAGUGUAAUUAUAAGUGUAAUAAAUCAGGUCAAAU